UAUUUUAGUACAGAGGCUGCGCGUGCGGCACCGGGAGUGCUGGGAGGGACUGGUUUGGACUGGGAGCACUGGUUUGUAAUGGGAGCACUGGUUCAUACUGGGAUCCCUGUUCCAUACUGGAAUCAUUGGUCCAUACUGGGAGCACUGGUUCAUACUGGGAGCACUGGUUCAUACUGGAAUCAUUGGUCCAUACUGGGAGCACUGGUUCAUACUGGGAUCCCUGUUCCAUACUGGGAUCAUUGGUCCAUACUGGGAGCACUGGUUUUUACUGGGCCCGGCCCCCCAGCACCACGCAGAGCCCGCGGAUCUUUCUGGAAAGUUUUUAAUCAGAACCUGGAAAAUCCAACGCAGAGGGGGCGUGGCCUGGGCUUGGCCCCUCCCCCCAGUGUCCCCGCACCCAGGGGCGGUGCCCGGGGCGGGGCUACAGCAGGACAGAAAUGGGGGGAAGGGAGGCCCCACCCCCGGCCCCGCCCCUCCCCCACCCAUACCGGGGCCUUCCUGAGUGCGGGGGGAGGGGCAGCCCUGGGGGGAGGGGCGGGGACAGCUCUGUCCCCAACGUGGGGGGGAGGGGCAGGGGACACCGGCAGGGGGAGGGGACACCCCCACCCCCCCUAAGGCCACCCCCGGACUGUCCCCGUGUCCCCCGUAAGGCUCAGGGACCCCCAGGAUGUCCCCACGCGUCCCCUGGGCCACCCCCGGCUGCUCCUGAGCCACCCGGGAUGUCCCCAAAGCCACCCGGGAUGUCCCCAAAGCCACCCGGGAUGUCCCUGCGCCAUCCACGAUGUCCCCCAGGACCCCUCAGAAGGGCCCUGGGCCACCUCUCCUGUCCCCAGAGGUCCCUGUCCCCAAUGAGCCUCCCCAGAAGGUGCCACCAGGAUGUCCCCAUGAAUGAAACCCCGGCCCUGUCCCCAAGGCCCAUCCAGGAUGUCCCCGGGUGUAUCCAGGCGGUCUCAGCUCCAUCCAGGGUGUCCCCAUGGUCACCUGGACCCCCACAAGGUCCAGCCAGGUGACCCCGGGAGCUCCCAGGUCCAUCCAGGACAUUCCAGAUCCAUCCAGGAUGUUCCUGGACCCCACAGAAGUUCCAUCCAGGGCUCCUGGGUCCAUCCAGGUCCAUCCUGGUGCUCCCGUGUCCCCCCGUGGGUGUCCCCUCCAUGUCCGUGGCUCCGUGGCCACCCCAGAGGCACUCCCAGGUCACCGUGGCCGUGUCCCCAAAAGCCGCAGCCCCGAGGUGGCCAUGGCCGUGUCCCCAGGGGUGACAGCCCUGAGGUGGCCGUGUCCCCAGGAGCCAGAGCUCCAAGGUGGCCGUGGCCGUGUCCCCAAGAGCUGCAGCUUGGUGGCCACUCCUGGAUCACCAUGUCCGUGUCCCCAGAGCUCCAUGGCCACCUCAGCUGUCCCCAGGUGACUCCCACUGUCCCAUCCGUUGCUCAGAGCUUGAGCUCCGUGGCCACCUUGGAGCCCCUCCUGGUCACCGUGUCCGUGUCCCUGGAGCUCCAUGGCCACUCCUGGGUCACCACAUCCGUGUCCGUGUCCCCGGAGCUCGGUGGCCCCCCAGCCGUCCCCGCCGUGGCUCAGAGCUUGAGCUCGUUGGCCACCUUGGAGGCGAUGUUCUUGAAGGCCAUGGAGGUGCCGGCGAUGCGCUUGAAGCGGACGCCGUUGAGCGAGAGCCGGGGCAGCUUGCACACCUCCAUCUCCCACUGCACGAAGGAGUCGUGCCCGGGCGCGCCGUGGGCGCAGAGCAGCACGAAGCGCUCCUGGGGCUCGCAGCGGCAGCUGUUGGCGUCCAGCACCUUGCGGAUCUCGCGCAGCAUCUCCCCGGGCUCCAGCGAGCUCGUCGUCUUCAUGCUCCACGUGAAGCGCAGCGAGCGCGGCUUGGCGUCGCGCCCGGCGUCGCGGGGGUCCUUGUCGGGGCCCACCGCGGGUC
ensembl:lncRNA